rnacentral:rRNA from 1 species
ACUCGCCUACACGAAGCUGGAAUCGCUAGUAAUCGCGGAUCAGCACGCCGCGGUGAAUACGUUCCCGGGCCUUGUACACACCGCCCGUCACACCAUGAGAGUCUGUAACACCCAAAGCCGGUGGGAUAACCUUUAUAGGAGUCAGCCGUCUAAGGUAGGACAGAUGAUUAGGGUGAAGUCGUAACAAGGUAGC